rnacentral:rRNA from 1 species
UCGAGAAUAUUCCUCAAUGGACGAAAGUCUGAUGGAGCGACGCCGCGUGCAGGAAGAAGGCCUUCGGGUUGUAAACUGCGGUAAUUGUCGAGGAACGCAAGUGACUGUAGACAAUGGAAAGAGGUUGGUAACUACGUGCCAGCACCCGCGGUAAUACGUAGGGUGCAAGCGUUGUCCGGAAUUAUUGGGCGUAAAGAGCUCGUAGGUUGUUUGUUACGUCGGAUGUGAAAACCUGAGGCUCAACCUCAGGCCUGCAUUCGAUACGGGCAAACUAGAGUUUGGUAGGGGAGACUGGAAUUCCUGGUGUAGCGGUGGAAUGCGCAGAUAUCAGGAGGAACACCAAUGGCGAAGGCAGGUCUCUGGGCCAAUACUGACACUGAGGAGCGAAAGUCUGGGGAGCGAACAGG